UACGAGCCACCCGAACGUUAUUCGGAAUUACUGGGCUUAAAGGGUGCGUAGGCGGUGUAGCAAGUCGGGAGUGAAAUACCCCAGCUUAACUGAGGAAUUGCUUUCGAUACUGCUGCGCUUGAGUGAGACAGAGGUAAGCGGAACUUAGGGUGGAGCGGUGAAAUGCGUUGAUAUCCUAAGGAACACCGGUGGCGAAGGCGGCUUACUGGGUCUCAACUGACGCUGAGGCACGAAAGCUAGGGUAGCAAACAGG
rnacentral:rRNA from 1 species